GCAUCGGUGGUUCAGUGGUAGAAUGCUCGCCUGCCACGGCGGGGCGGCCCGGGUUCGAUUUCCCGGCCGAUGCA